rnacentral:pre_miRNA from 1 species
UGUUAAAAGUUUCAUCCGUUAGUACUGGUUAAAACUGUUGCGGUUGAGAGAAUGUUUGACAUGUGACGUGCCACGGGUAUCUCAUGCUAAUGUACAGGGACCAAUUUUAACAACAAAAAAUGGAUGAAACUUUUAACA